UACGGAGGAUCCGAGCGUUAUCCGGAUUUAUUGGGUUUAAAGGGAGCGCAGACGGCAGUGCAAGUCUGAUGUGAAAUCCCGGGGCUCAACCCCGGAACUGCAUUGGAAACUGCGCAGCUCGAGUAUCGGAGAGGUAAGCGGAAUUCCUAGUGUAGCGGUGAAAUGCGUAGAUAUUAGGAGGAACACCGGCGGCGAAGGCGGCUUACUGGACGAAGACUGACGUUGAGGCUCGAAAGCGUGGGGAGCAAACAGGAUUAGAUACCCGCGUAGUCCCU
rnacentral:rRNA from 1 species